rnacentral:tRNA from 1 species
GCGCAGCUAGGUUAACGGUAGACCACCCCACUUCGGAUGGGCCAAUAGAAGUUCGAUUCUUCUGCCGCGCU